UGGGAAAAUUACAGAGUGCUAACAUAUCCCAUCGGAACUCUGAAGUUAAGCGCACUUAGGCUAUAGUAGUACUGGGAUGGGUGACCUCCCGGGAAGUCAUAGUGUUUCUCCCUC
rfam:Picea glauca, whole genome shotgun sequence.